AUUGUCCAGAACUCGGUAUAUUGCGUCUCGCUGCAUCCUACUAAACCUUCAUCCGCCAUUAGGCGGAUAAAGGUCUAGUAGUGAUGCAGUGAGAGCCUCUCUUCUGAAGU
rnacentral:pre_miRNA from 1 species